AGAACGAACGCUGGCGGCAUGCCUAACACAUGCAAGUCGAACGAGACCUUCGGGUCUAGUGGCGCACGGGUGCGUAACGCGUGGGAAUCUGCCCUUAGGUACGGAAUAACAGUGAGAAAUUACUGCUAAUACCGUAUGAUGUCUUCGGACCAAAGAUUUAUCGCCUAGGGAUGAGCCCGCGUUGGAUUAGCUAGUUGGUGGGGUAAAGGCCUACCAAGGCGACGAUCCAUAGCUGGUCUGAGAGGAUGAUCAGCCACACUGGGACUGAGACACGGCCCAGACUCCUACGGGAGGCAGCAGUGGGGAAUAUUGGACAAUGGGCGCAAGCCUGAUCCAGCCAUGCCGCGUGAGUGAUGAAGGCCCUAGGGUUGUAAAGCUCUUUCACCGGAGAAGAUAAUGACGGUAUCCGGAGAAGAAGCCCGGCUAACUUCGCGCCAGCAGCCGC
rnacentral:rRNA from 1 species